rnacentral:rRNA from 1 species
UACGUAGGGUGCGAGCGUUAAUCGGAAUUACUGGGCGUAAAGCGUGCGCAGGCGGUUCGUUGUGUCGGUGGUGAAAUCCCCGGGCUUAACCUGGGAAUGGCCAUGGAAACUGGCGAACUGGAGUGCGGCAGAGGGGGCUGGAAUUCCGCGUGUAGCAGUGAAAUGCGUAGAGAUUUGGAGGAACACCAGUGGCGAAGGCGACUUUCUGGUCUGUAACUGACACUGAGGCGCGAAAGCGUGGGGAGCAAACAGG